rnacentral:misc_RNA from 1 species
GGAAUCGAAAGAUGUCC